CCAGAUUCCAAAACAAAACCUUUUUUGAACUGAAAGACCUUUUGGUGCAAGACGAUGUUCGAAAUCUUCUCUCGCUCUCGGCGAAUGGUUGGAAGAAGGUGGCAGCGACCAGAUGGAGUCAAAAUCGUGAAAGAGUUCUCAUCUUUGGCCUAAAGACAUGAAGGUAACUGGUUUGUCUGAAAACUGAGUCUUCUUUGUCUUAAAAACUUAAAAGUGUCAGCCUUUUUUUUCCUUUUUGACUGUAUCUGAUGCUGAUUAGUGAUUUUGCAAGCAUAUACUGGUCGUUUUCUCAUCCAAAUGACCCUUCUUUUUUACUUCCAGUUAUUGUUUUUUUUUUUUGGAGGCCAAAAAGUUCUGAGAUUUCUUGGGAUGAGAGUGUUGAAACACAUAUGGUAAGAAGAAAUAGCUUUGCUAGGAGCAGGCCAGGAGGAUCAGACACAGUUGGGAAAUUCCAUAUUUUCUGAAACCUUGCAGAGUUCUCCCCCCCCCCCCCCACCUUUGGUUGUUCAGCAUGUAAUCAUCGAGUUGAGCCAAUGGAUUGGUGGUUGAUAUCUCCAUGGCCAUCUCGUUUACCAACAAACUAUGAAUCUCGGGAUCUGAUCAUGAUUCUCAACUCUAAAAAGAUGCCUAGAUAGGCUAAAAGGCACCAUGAAGUGAAGUUAAGAGAGAGAGCUUGAAAAAAUCAGUAUUCACUCUCUUCAAUAUGGGCCAAAAAUAUGUAAAGAAUAAGAAGAGAUACAGAAAAAAAAAUGGUCAGUUGGAGAGGUGGGUGAAGGUAGGUGAGGAGGGGAAACGUGUGCGUGUUGAGUAGAAAGAUUUACUAAAAGGGUCCACUUCGGUCUUGUCUGCUACACUGCUUGCUGCUGCUGCUUCCUUGUUCUGUUUCUGUAUCAAUCCUGUGAGUGCUUCCACUAUUUCUGAAACCUCUGGUCUAAACUCCUCUGCCUGCUUGUUGGAAGAAAUGAUUCUUAAGUUAUUUGUAUUUGCAAUGAUCCUGAGUGAAGAAGCUUAUUGUCAAUAAUUAAUUACCUGAGUGCAUAGAGAGAUGAUGAAUGCGUAGUGUGAGGCGACUCUUAUGGAGAAUGUUCCGGCUAUGCCUUGAUCAAUCAUCUGUUCUAAGCUUCGCUUGUCAUGAAGUCUGCUUGUUGCCCAUUUCACCAGUAGCUGUUCUCCUUGGGGUCGUGAGCUGCAAAAGAAAAAAUUCUUUAGCUUUGUCUAUUGCAUCCGGCAAAGUAAGUGAAAGGCUUGUGUACCUGUCAAAUGCUUUCCUUCCUGUUAACAGUUCCAAGAGUAGUACUCCCAGUGCAUAAGUGUCGCUCUUUGUGCCACUGCUUCCUGGUUGUCCAUGUUCUGGUGCAAUGUAGCCUGUGUUUUGUAUUGCUAUCUCUGAAGCCUGCUUCAAAAUCUCAGCUCAUUAGGUUUCAGUCAAAGAACAAAGCGACAUAGAAUGUUACCGUUUCUUCACUUUACCCGAAGCUUGACACUGUUGCUUGUAAGUGGCCUUAAACUAGCAAGCCCACAGUCAGCAAUCCGAGGUGUAAGUUCUUCGUCUAGCAAGAUGUUUGUUGCUUUCAGGUCGCUAUGUGCAAUGGGAGGGCUAAACGACGAGUGCAAAUAGCUGAAAUUUUUUUGAUUCACAAGAUAGUGAGUGAUGUGUCAAAGUAAGUCUCUGCUACUAUUUAGGUUUGAGAAUGAUAAGGAUACUUACUCCAGAGCUCGGGCAACUCCGAUAGCAAUGUGGAGACGGAAGCCCCAAGAGAGUGGCUUGUAUACAUCAUCAUGCAUAGCGUUGUACAGAGACAAAUGCCCAGCAUACUCGUAGACAAGAAGAUGCUUCCCAUUAUCAAUGCAGAAACCGAGAAGUGUCACAAUGUUUGGGUGUCUUAGUUUGGAGGCUGUUUGAAGAAGUUCAGUAAAUUUCUCCUCUUCAUGUAAAGACAGCGAUGACAUUGGGAUGUUUCUCACAGCGGCCAACUGUUUUCAAAGAAAACCACCAGUGAGUGACAAUGGAAGUUUCCCAUUUUUGAAUUUUUGAAGAGAGAGAGAAGAGAAGCUAUACUUGACCAUCAGGCAACUUUGCUCUGUAAACAGAACCAAGAGGACCUUCUUCAAGUAGGUUUUCGUCACUGAAACUGUUCGUUGCCAGUUCAAGCUCUGCAGCUGUGAAAAGCUUCGCGUAUGCUGGAUAAUGGCAUGUAGCAGAGAAGCUGUUUCGUCUUGAUGUUUUAUCGGUUCUGACAGGUGGAGGAGGUAUAUGUCUCAGCUGAGGAACUCGGUCUGUACUGACUCGAAGAGAGUACGUUGUGCUGUUGUUGCUUCCUUGACUAGCAGCUGCAAGUUUCUGUGAACGUCGAUGAUGACUCAUCCGAACUGCUAUAACUGCAAAGAAAGUUCCAAGCAAAGCCAAUCCGCCAACAAGUAAAACAAUACUCCCUGUUCCUAAUCCCUUCUUCUUCUUUCUGACCUUCUGAGGUCUGGGGAAGUCCAUGAUUGCACUCGACUGAGUAGUUGGAUAGCCACGAGCAUUCUGAAUCAUCGGUACAACAUCAAGAGGGAACUUCCACGGUCUAUAGUUGGCCUCUACGUGAAACUUGUUUCCCCAAAUCCUGCUCAGGAAAACACCAUUGAUUAUCCUGAGUCUUAGGUGUCUGAGCCAAGUUUCGAGAAGAGGGGAGUAGUGACUCACCACAGAUGAGGAAUAGACUGGAAACUAGUAGGGAAAAUACCACUGAACUGGUUAUCUUCUAUGUUCCUGAAGACAGCAAGGAAGCGUUUUGAGCUCAUCAAAAUAAAGGAUGCUCAAUGAAAUGCAAAGAAAAGCAGAAAGAGAGAGAGAGAGUUAACUACAGGUCAGUUAAAGGAAGAUCCGCGAGAUAGAUGAUUGAUCCUGUAAACCUGUUGUGCUGGAGGUACCUGCAGUUUUGUUAUCACAGCAGCAUUACCAUUAUUAGGUUGCACAUACCAGAUUGCAGAUAAAGAUAUUUGAGAUACUUGCAGUGAGUUCAGAUUCAUUAGAGUUCCAAAAGAGCUCGGUAGAUCUCCCGUCAGGUUGUUGAAUGACAGAUCCCUGGCAAAGUCGAGAUAAUUUGAAGAUGAAUGGAGUAUCAUGCAUCUACAUAACAAGAUGAAAGGCAAGCAAAAAUGGAACUGAAGACUCACAUUUCCUUAAUUUGUAACCCGGAAAACACAUUUGCAAGAGGUCCAGAUAAUGAAUUGUGGCUCAGAUUCCUAGAAGACAGAGCAAGCCGUUGUUACUUUUAACAGAUCAGCAGAAAGCAAGGGUUAGAUUGUUAUUAAGCCACCCACUUACAGAGAGAGAAGAGAUGUCAUGAGAGGUAAAGAGAAAAGGAGACUCUGAGUGAGAUUGUUAUAAGCCAUGUUUCUGUAAAUCGCCAAACAAAGGAGGUUUAUGAAUUGGCACUCUGCUGGUUGUAAAGCUUAAAUGAUGAGAAUGAACAACAACGCUUACAUGUGGGUAGCAUUUGGAGGCAAGCCAAACGGAAUGUCACCUUGGAGGUUAUUGAAGCUAACAUCCCUAACACACACAAAAAAAUAGGAUUCAAUGAUUCAAAAGUAUCCAUCAAACAAUCAAGAAGAGGAAAGUUUUUUUGCAAACAUGUUCUUCAAGCUGUGGAGACGGUGAAGGUUGUUUCCAAGACUUCCCCAAAGACUUAACCCUCGUAACUGCCUGAGAGAUAGCACGAAUCAGAUUUUUUUUUUCAUUCAAAACUAUAAUAAAACAGAGCACACAGGGAGAAAGAGAGACAUUACAAGGCUACUAUAGACGAUCCAGAACAGUAAACUCCCAUCCAGGCUUCUCGGCAUGGAUCUCCUCCCUCGAAUCUCCAUCCUCUCAGUUGCUGUGGAUUGUUCAGGGACUUGUAGAGAUCUUCAAGAGCAGAGACUAUGGAAGAAACACCAAUUUAAGUAACAGCAAAGGAUUCAAUUAAACCAAGAAACUUGAUGAUUACCUUCGAGUGGAUUAGUGUAGGUCUCAGCAAGCGUAAACAGCAUCAUCACCGUGAAGAUAACUGCAGCGAGGGUUCGCGAUUGAUGUUUGGUUGUCAUCUCGAGGGAUGCUACGUACUGCAGAGUAGCACUGAUAGUGUUUUCUGAUUUUCUCUCGCUUUCCGGGGAAACCUAAACAGAAAAGAAACUCCGGAGGAGAGGAGAAGAUUAAAAAAAAACAGAGCUCUGGCUAUAGAGAAACGCGCGAAGAUUUCACGUCAGCAAAAGCGGUUACGGACGUUGGGAGUCAACUAGUCUUCUCGCCUUGCCACGUGGCCGUGCUUUAUAAUUUUCAUUAGCGGUCCUUUUAGUUAAUUUUUUUUUCGAAAGAAUGUAAAAUUUAUUCUAGCGCAUGCCAUAAAGUUUCAAGAGCCACUUAGAGUUAUCUAUC